rnacentral:rRNA from 1 species
CACGUAGGGCGCAAGCGUUGUCCGGAAUUAUUGGGCGUAAAGAGCUCGUAGGCGGUCUGUUGCGUCCGCUGUGAAAACUCGGGGCUUAACCCCGAGCCUGCAGUGGAUACGGGCAGACUAGAGGUAGGUAGGGGAGAAUGGAAUUCCCGGUGUAGCGGUGAAAUGCGCAGAUAUCGGGAGGAACACCCGGUGGCGAAGGCGGUCUGCUGGGCAGUUGCUGACACUGAGGCGCGACAGCGUGGGGAGCAAACAGGG